GCCAGACUCCUACGGGAGGCAGCAGUGGGGAAUAUUGCACAAUGGGGGAAACCCUGAUGCAGCGACGCCGCGUGAGUGAAGAAGUAUUUCGGUAUGUAAAGCUCUAUCAGCAGGGAAGAAAAUGACGGUACCUGACCAAGAAGCCCCGGCUAACUACGUGCCAGCAGCCGCGGUAAUACGUAGGGGGCAAGCGUUAUCCGGAUUUACUGGGUGUAAAGGGAGCGUAGACGGUUGUGCAAGUCAGAAGUGAAAGCCCGGGGCUCAACUCCGGGACUGCUUUUGAAACUGUGAAACUGGAGUGCAGGAGAGGUAAGCGGAAUUCCUGGUGUAGCGGUGAAAUGCGUAGAUAUUAGGAGGAACACCAGUGGCGAAGGCGGCUUACUGGACUGUAACUGACGUUGAGGCUCGAAAGCGUGGGGAGCAAACAGGAUUAGAUACCCUCGUA
rnacentral:rRNA from 1 species